GCAAGACCUAGUACAAUAUACCUGGAUCUAAAAACAAUCUCGUUCUCACCAGUCAUCACGCAACGCCCCGUCAUUCCCUUCACUGCGCCAACCGUGGUUCUCAGCAGCAUCGCCAUCCGCUCUUCCCCCUCUGCACGUCGUGAAUCCACGAAUCCGAACCUUGGUUGCCAUCGUCGUUUGUCGUUGCAGGUUCACACGCAGGAGACGAGGCUCUCGUUGUGGGUUCCCGUGAUAACUGUCACUGGUUAGCGUGAACAUCCAUGGUUUCUCGUACGGGCGCUCUCCGUCCGCUUCUUCACUGGCGACCCCGUGCCCCUCCGCAUCUUCUGCUCUCAUAUCCUUUCUUGUUUCCUUGAACUUAUUCACUGCUUAGUCAGAAACUCAUGUCUUCCGGCGAAGACAACAUGGCGGCGAUAGAGUGGAAGUGAUAGCAACAGAGAUCAGAACAUACCUGAGGCCCAAGCUAUGGAUGAAGACAGACCCAAGACCCACGAUGGAAGGCCCAAGAGAAGUACCAAGGGACCUGCAUAUCUGGACAAUUACGCAUAACAGUUAUUGGGGAAGAAUUAAGGGAGUUAUUUACAACUGUUUUUCCAUUUCAGAAUUCUGUUAGAAAAGCUGCUAGGAACCCGUUAUUGCAAUCAUGCUUUGUAAAUUUUAUUACACAGAAUCACCCCACGAAAUGUAUUUAAAUAAGAUUGCAAUGAAUUAAAUGGUAAGAAGAAUUCCAGCUCAUCACCUUUAGUGUAGAACGGAGGUUCACUUGCCCUCGAAAUGAAGGACCAUUGUCCCCUUCUAUUUAUGUUUUGUAUGGUAGUGAUACACUAGGGUGAAUUGUUUAAUGUAGUUGUUUUAAUCAUCUAUUAUUUUUGAAUUGGCAGACGAUUUGUUUGAUUUUGUUUGUAUUUGCUUCAAUUCUGGUUUGCCUUCUUUCCUUCAAGAAGAAAAAAUGUUAGGUGAUGAAGAAAUUUGUUGGUGGCUAGUGUGAUUUUAGAUGCUUUAAUUUUUAAAUAUGAGAGUGGAGCCAUGUCUAAUUGGCUCUGUCCGAUUUCUUGGAACAAAAUUCGUUGAUAGUGAUAGUGAUGUCCUAGUAAGCAUGGUUGAAUUGGACAAUUGAAGCUACUUUGCUGAGACUGUAAAAAUAAUUUGCUUUUGAACAGUCACCUAAUUAAUCAUGUUUUACCUGAAUCAGGUUAUUGAUAAGUCAUUUGGUUUUGACACUGCUGUUGAAGAGGCACAAGGAGCCAUAAACUUUGCUCAUGUGGAAGCAGAAAGCACUGAGAAUGGUAUCGAUAUUGCCAAGCUUAUGGGUCGUUACAGUGGUAAGUAUCAUUUACAUUAUGGUAGUUUACAAUUUUAGUCAGUUGGUAUAGAGUUCAGGAUUUGAAUAAUCUGGGUAGGAAAAAGAUUUACGUUUUGUUUGUAUUAUGGGUACUUCAUAAAUUUCAGUUUUUAUGACUUAAGCUACUCAAGAAAAUUGGUCUAUGUGAGGAAAGUAAACAAUAUAAAUCCAAAACAUUUUUUUUCUCUCUUUCCUUUUUCGACUUCCAGUCUAACAACAGAAAAUGGGACAUUAAAUAUCUUUCUUGCGGUUGUGGUUGCUCCAGUAAAAAAAAUUGAAGUCAAAUGCUUGGGCUUUCUUGCGACCAUUUACUCCACAUAUGUGGGGUGUCACUGCAUUUUUUUUCCUCUUUGUUGGAGCAGUGGUGUGGAUUCUUGAACAUAGAACAAACGAUGAGUUUCGAGGGUCACCGAGGGAACAUAUAGUUACAGUUCUUUGGUUUAGUUUGUCAACCAUGUUCUUUGCGCACAGUAAGUCGUCCACCUAUUUUGACAGUUCAUGUCCUAUUCUUGUUUGUGGGUAGAAACAAAUAAGCUUUUUUAUUAUUCUUUCAAGAGAAAACACACUUAGUCCACUUGGUUGAGUUGUGUCCAUCCAUGUCUUGCAUUUACAUACUCACUUCCCUCACAUGCAUCUCACCCCCGAAAGUGACAGACAUGUUGAAUUGGGCCACAUUUGUUGUUGAUCCCCGUCAUCGUCGCUCCACCGACACCACUCUCACACUCGAUGUGUUUAGCAUGCAAUUUCCUUAAGAAUCCACCAUUAUCCAACUUAACCUCAAAUCCUCAUCAAGAAUCUGUCACGCUUCCUCGCUCUGUGGAUACUCCAUCAUCGUCGUCACUACCUCAUUUUGAUCAAGAACAUCGAUUCUAAAUGACGAGCACCGAAAGCAGUUGGACUUUGUCUCCAUAUAUGUGUCUUCCUUCUCUCCCUCAUUGUUGUCAUCACCUACCUCUAAUACUACCAUCACCAACUAGAUUCACUUCAAAAAUCACGAACCAAAUCCGCCCAUAAAAUAUCAUCAUCGUCCAUAUCUAAACCCAAAACGCCUAAAUCCAACCUUUUCUCCUCGUUGUUCGUUUCUCCCUCCCUCCCCCAUGUAGCAUUGUGCCUCUUUUGCCAGUCGUGUCACCAUUUCAGUUCUUUAAGGGAUUUUAUUUCAGAUCUCAUUAUGUUUGUAAUUCAUGUCAAAUCUGGUUAUUUUAUUGAUUUUUUUUAAAAACUUUGAUUCAUUUUGUUGUUGUUGAGCUUGAUAUAUGCUUUA